rnacentral:rRNA from 1 species
GGGUUGUGAGGUUAAGCGACUAAGCGUACACGGUGGAUGCCCUGGCAGUCAGAGGCGAUGAAGGACGUGCUAAUCUGCGAUAAGCGUCGGUGAGGUGAUAUGAACCGUUAUAACCGGCGAUUUCCGAAUGGGGAAACCCAGUGUGAUUCGUCACACUAUCAUUAACUGAAUCCAUAGGUUAAUGAGGCGAACCGGGGGAACUGAAACAUCUAAGUACCCCGAGGAAAAGAAAUCAACCGAGAUUCCCCCAGUAGCGGCGAGCGAACGGGGAGCAGCCCAGAGCCUGAAUCAGUGUGUGUGUUAGUGGAAGCGUCUGGAAAGGCGCGCGAUACAGGGUGACAGCCCCGUACACAAAAAUGCACAUACUGUGAGCUCGAUGAGUAGGGCGGGACACGUGGUAUCCUGUCUGAAUAUGGGGGGACCAUCCUCCAAGGCUAAAUACUCCUGACUGACCGAUAGUGAACCAGUACCGUGAGGGAAAGGCGAAAAGAACCCCGGCGAGGGGAGUGAAAAAGAACCUGAAACCGUGUACGUACAAGCAGUGGGAGCACGCUUCGGCGUGUGACUGCGUACCUUUUGUAUAAUGGGUCAGCGACUUAUAUUCUGUAGCAAGGUUAACCGAAUAGGGGAGCCGAAGGGAAACCGAGUCUUAACUGGGCGUUAAGUUGCAGGGUAUAGACCCGAAACCCGGUGAUCUAGCCAUGGGCAGGUUGAAGGUUGGGUAACACUAACUGGAGGACCGAACCGACUAAUGUUGAAAAAUUAGCGGAUGACUUGUGGCUGGGGGUGAAAGGCCAAUCAAACCGGGAGAUAGCUGGUUCUCCCCGAAAGCUAUUUAGGUAGCGCCUCGUGAAUUCAUCUCCGGGGGUAGAGCACUGUUUCGGCAAGGGGGUCAUCCCGACUUACCAACCCGAUGCAAACUGCGAAUACCGGAGAAUGUUAUCACGGGAGACACACGGCGGGUGCUAACGUCCGUCGUGAAGAGGGAAACAACCCAGACCGCCAGCUAAGGUCCCAAAGUCAUGGUUAAGUGGGAAACGAUGUGGGAAGGCCCAGACAGCCAGGAUGUUGGCUUAGAAGCAGCCAUCAUUUAAAGAAAGCGUAAUAGCUCACUGGUCGAGUCGGCCUGCGCGGAAGAUGUAACGGGGCUAAACCAUGCACCGAAGCUGCGGCAGCGACACUAUGUGUUGUUGGGUAGGGGAGCGUUCUGUAAGCCUGUGAAGGUGUACUGUGAGGUAUGCUGGAGGUAUCAGAAGUGCGAAUGCUGACAUAAGUAACGAUAAAGCGGGUGAAAAGCCCGCUCGCCGGAAGACCAAGGGUUCCUGUCCAACGUUAAUCGGGGCAGGGUGAGUCGACCCCUAAGGCGAGGCCGAAAGGCGUAGUCGAUGGGAAACAGGUUAAUAUUCCUGUACUUGGUGUUACUGCGAAGGGGGGACGGAGAAGGCUAUGUUGGCCGGGCGACGGUUGUCCCGGUUUAAGCGUGUAGGCUGGUUUUCCAGGCAAAUCCGGAGAAUCAAGGCUGAGGCGUGAUGACGAGGCACUACGGUGCUGAAGCAACAAAUGCCCUGCUUCCAGGAAAAGCCUCUAAGCAUCAGGUAACAUUAAAUCGUACCCCAAACCGACACAGGUGGUCAGGUAGAGAAUACCAAGGCGCUUGAGAGAACUCGGGUGAAGGAACUAGGCAAAAUGGUGCCGUAACUUCGGGAGAAGGCACGCUGAUACGUAGGUGAAGUCCCUCGCGGAUGGAGCUGAAAUCAGUCGAAGAUACCAGCUGGCUGCAACUGUUUAUUAAAAACACAGCACUGUGCAAACACGAAAGUGGACGUAUACGGUGUGACGCCUGCCCGGUGCCGGAAGGUUAAUUGAUGGGGUCAGCGCAAGCGAAGCUCUUGAUCGAAGCCCCGGUAAACGGCGGCCGUAACUAUAACGGUCCUAAGGUAGCGAAAUUCCUUGUCGGGUAAGUUCCGACCUGCACGAAUGGCGUAAUGAUGGCCAGGCUGUCUCCACCCGAGACUCAGUGAAAUUGAACUCGCUGUGAAGAUGCAGUGUACCCGCGGCAAGACGGAAAGACCCCGUGAACCUUUACUAUAGCUUGACACUGAACAUUGAGCCUUGAUGUGUAGGAUAGGUGGGAGGCUUUGAAGUGUGGACGCCAGUCUGCAUGGAGCCGGCCUUGAAAUACCACCCUUUAAUGUUUGAUGUUCUAACGUAGACCCGUGAUCCGGGUUGCGGACAGUGUCUGGUGGGUAGUUUGACUGGGGCGGUCUCCUCCUAAAGAGUAACGGAGGAGCACGAAGGUUGGCUAAUCCUGGUCGGACAUCAGGAGGUUAGUGCAAUGGCAUAAGCCAGCUUGACUGCGAGCGUGACGGCGCGAGCAGGUGCGAAAGCAGGUCAUAGUGAUCCGGUGGUUCUGAAUGGAAGGGCCAUCGCUCAACGGAUAAAAGGUACUCCGGGGAUAACAGGCUGAUACCGCCCAAGAGUUCAUAUCGACGGCGGUGUUUGGCACCUCGAUGUCGGCUCAUCACAUCCUGGGGCUGAAGUAGGUCCCAAGGGUAUGGCUGUUCGCCAUUUAAAGUGGUACGCGAGCUGGGUUUAGAACGUCGUGAGACAGUUCGGUCCCUAUCUGCCGUGGGCGCUGGAGAACUGAGGGGGGCUGCUCCUAGUACGAGAGGACCGGAGUGGACGCAUCACUGGUGUUCGGGUUGUCAUGCCAAUGGCACUGCCCGGUAGCUAAAUGCGGAAGAGAUAAGUGCUGAAAGCAUCUAAGCACGAAACUUGCCCCGAGAUGAGUUCUCCCUGACCCUUUAAGGGUCCUGAAGGAACGUUGAAGACGACGACGUUGAUAGGCCGGGUGUGUAAGCGCAGCGAUGCGUUGAGCUAACCGGUACUAAUGAACCGUGAGGCUUAACCUUACAACGCCGAAG